rnacentral:tRNA from 1 species
GGUUUGGUGGCUCAGCGGUUAAAGCGCCAGUUUUCAAAACAGAGGGUCGGGGGUUCGAACCCCGUUCAGGGCA